GAUCCUGGCUUAGGAUGAACGCUAGCGACAGGCUUAACACAUGCAAGUCGAGGGGCAGCAUAGAAGUAGCAAUACUUGGUGGCGACCGGCGCACGGGUGAGUAACGCGUAUGCAACCUACCUAUCAGAGGGGAAUAACCCGGCGAAAGUCGGACUAAUACCGCAUAAAACAGGGGCACCGCAUGGUGAUAUUUGUUAAAGAAAUUCGCUGAUAGAUGGGCAUGCGUUCCAUUAGGUAGUUGGUGAGGUAACGGCUCACCAAGCCGACGAUGGAUAGGGGAACUGAGAGGUUGGUCCCCCACACUGGUACUGAGACACGGACCAGACUCCUACGGGAGGCAGCAGUGAGGAAUAUUGGUCAAUGGGCGGGAGCCUGAACCAGCCAAGUCGCGUGAAAGGGAGAAGGAUCUAUGGUUCGUAAACUUCUUUUGCAGGGGAAUAAAGUGCAGGACGUGUCCUGUUUUGUAUGUACCCUGAGAAUAAGGAUCGGCUAACUCCGUGCCAGCAGCGGC
rnacentral:rRNA from 1 species